rnacentral:tRNA from 1 species
GCGGGUGUAGUUUAAGUUUGGCGAACUUCUUCCAAGCUGACUAUGAGGGUUCGAUUCCCUUCACCCGCUCCA